AACGAACGCUGGCGGCAUGCCUAACACAUGCAAGUCGAACGAGACCUUCGGGUCUAGUGGCGCACGGGUGCGUAACGCGUGGGAAUCUGCCCUUGGGUUCGGAAUAACUCGCCGAAAGGCGUGCUAAUACCGGAUGAUGACGUAAGUCCAAAGAUUUAUCGCCCAAGGAUGAGCCCGCGUUGGAUUAGCUAGUUGGUGAGGUAAAGGCUCACCAAGGCGACGAUCCAUAGCUGGUCUGAGAGGAUGAUCAGCCACACUGGGUCUGAGACACGGCCCAGACUCCUACGGGAGGCAGCAGUGGGGAAUAUUGGACAAUGGGCGAAAGCCUGAUCCAGCAAUGCCGCGUGAGUGAUGAAGGCCUUAGGGUUGUAAAGCUCUUUUACCCGGGAUGAUAAUGACCGUACCGGGAGAAUAAGCUCCGGCUAACUCCGUG
rnacentral:rRNA from 1 species